CGAAAGCCUGACGCAGCGACGCCGCGUGGGGAUGAAGGUCUUCGGAUGUAAACCCUUCGGGAGGGAAGAUGGGAUGGGGUAACCCAUUCGGACGGUACCUCCAGAAGCAGCCACGGCUAACUUCGUGCCAGCAGCCGCGGUAAUACGAAGGUGGCAAGCGUUGUUCGGAUUUACUGGGCGUACAGGGAGCGUAGGCGGUUGGAUAAGCCCUCCGUGAAAUCUCCAGGCUUAACCUGGAAAGUGCAGAGGGGACUGUUCAGCUAGAGGAUGGGAGAGGAGCGCGGAAUUCCCGGUGUAGCGGUGAAAUGCGUAGAGAUCGGGAGGAAGGCCGGUGGCGAAGGCGGCGCUCUGGAACAUUUCUGACGCUGAGGCUCGAAAGCGUGGGGAGCAAACAGGAUUAGAUACCCUGGUAGUCCACGCCUUAAACGAUGGAUACUAAGUGUCGGCGGGUUACCGCCGGUGCCGCAGCUAACGCAGUAAGUAUCCCGCCUGGGAAGUACGGCCGCAAGGUUG
rnacentral:rRNA from 1 species